AAUUAAUGAGUUUGAAUAAACAUAUGUUUUGAAAACAUACUAUAGAAAAUAAAAAUUUCUAUUAAUUU
rnacentral:tRNA from 1 species